UUCGAAACUGCCGUCUAAGUUUUUUAAAGGGGGUAGAAUUCCAGGGGGAGCGGGAAAUAGGUAGAAAUUUGGAGAAAUCCGUGGCGAAGUGGGCCCCUGACAAAGUCGACGCUCAGGGCGAAAGCUGGGGAGCAAACAGGGUAGCACCUUGUAGUCCAAGCCGUAAACGAAGUCGACCUGUAGUAGAGCCCCUGAGACGUGUUUCUGAGCUAACGCGUAAGUCGACCGCCUGAGAGUACGGCCGCAAGGUGAAACUCAAAUGAUUGACGGGGGGCGCACACGCGUGGAGCACGUGUUUAAUUCGAUGCAACGCGAAGAGCCUACCUACUCUUGACAUCCCGAGAGAUCGCGCAGAGACGUUGGGGCCCUCUGGGGAACUGAGACACAGGUGCACAGGGCUGUCGUCAUCUCGUGUGAGAAAUGUGGGGUUAAGUCCCGCAACGAGCGCACCCUUUCUCCUUUGUUGCCAGCGGUUGGGCCGGGAACUCAAAGGAGACUGCCAGUGAUAAACUGGAGGAAGGUGGGGAUGACGUCAAGUCAUCAUGGCCCUUACGAGUAGGGCUACACACGUGCUACAAUGGCGCAUACAAAGAGAAGCGACCUCGCGAGAGCAAGCGGACCUCAUAAAGUGCGUCGUAGUCCGGAUUGGAGUCUGCAACUCGACUCCAUGAAGUCGGAAUCGCUAGUAAUCGUAGAUCAGAAUGCUACGGUGAAUACGUUCCCGGGCCUUGUACACACCGCCCGUCACACCAUGGGAGUGGGUUGCAAAAGAAGUAGGUAGCUUAACCUUCGGGAGGGCGCU
rnacentral:rRNA from 1 species